rnacentral:hammerhead_ribozyme from 1 species
AUCCAACUGACGAGUCCCAAAUAGGACGAAAUGCGCAUUAUCCUGGAU